GUGUUGUAUGAGAGGAGAGAAAGUUAGCAAUCCCUUUAAUAAUGAUGGAAGAGUUCCUAGUGGCCUUUACAACACAUAUACAGUUAAGGCAUUGCCAAUUUUCUCUGUGGCAUCUUAUCAUGUUUUUUU
rnacentral:ncRNA from 1 species